GUUAAUGUUAAAGUUAAGAGUCAAAGUUAAAGUAAAAGUAAAAGGUCGAUUGGCUAGGUUGCAGCGGGAGAUCGCCGUCCCCGGCUUUUCCCGGACGCGGGGAAGGUAAAGGCGAGGUUUUGUCGGUUUUAUCCUUGGGGAGUGCUGCCCCCUGAAAAGAACGCGUUAGCCAAUCUGUGACUUGCUCAAGAAACACAAAAGUGUUGAGAGGGGUCCACCAUAGGAAAAAAGAUGAGACAAGAGAAUAAAGAAAUAAGAGAAUAAGAUAAAGGUUGAUCGCGAUCUGUUCCUCUAAAGAGUAAUAAGUGAAGAAAAUAACUGAAGUAAAUAAGUGAAAUAAGUGAUAAAAGAGGACAUCAUAGGAGCUGAAAAGCGUGGAUCCAUUUCUGUGUAUCUGAAAGCUGUGUGUGUGUCUGUCAGCUGUGUGUGUGUCUGUCAGCUGUGUGUGUAAGCCUCUGCUGCUGAGCAGACGUUAUCUGUUUAUGUGUGCUCUUCUCUGUUUAUUGCAAUGUGUUUUAAAACCAUGGUCAACAUUGGGAAAUUAUAAUCUGUGGGAGGUUUUUGAUUUUGUUUGCUGGGUUUGAUUUUCUGCUGUGUUUGAUUUCCUCGCCGCCGUGCGAGCAAAACUGCAAAAAAAAAAGAAAAAAAAAGAGAGGAAGAAGAGGUGAUUUUUGAGCCUAAAUUUUAGCCUAAACAGAUGGAGGGUGAACUUGAAAAGGAAAAAUACUAUCCAAAGUGGGGCAUCGGGCCAUGGAUUGCGCUCGGUGAGCAAAUAGAAGCGUUAAUAACUUAUUUGGCAAAGGAUGACGAAUAUCAAAAUAAGGGAGAAAGAAAACAACAAGAAAAGGGGCUAGAAUACCUGGUGCAGAAGAAAGGAGGCGACCUGUUAAACAGCCUUUGGGGAAAUAUUGGCUGGACGGAAUAAAUGACACUGAGGGAAAACUGGUUGAAACUAAACUAAUCCUGCACAAUUCACUAUAUUCACAUGUGGUAAAAUUAACUGUAUGAAGGAUGAAUGAAAUUACAUAACAGGUAAAAUU